AGAGAGAGAGUGCUGAGCAGUAUAGAUAUGUGUGUGUGUGUGUGUGUGUGUGUGUGUGUGUACGCACGCACGCAAACACACACACACACACACACACUCCCAUGGACAGCCUGGCACAUGAGGAUUUGUUGAUGAUCAGGGUCCACCUGACUGGUGUGUUUGGAACUAGGUUGGAGUUUUUCUUUCACAGAUAUGAGUCAAGCUGAUUUAAUU